UGGAUUAGGCAUGCAAGUCGCGCGGGUGUAGCAAUACAUCAGCGGCGUAAGGGACAGGAGUACGUAGACAACCUACCCUCGGGACCUGAAUGGCUGCGGGAAACUGCAGGUAAUGCGGGAUAACGUCUCCGGACCAAAGGUGUGAGUCCGCCGGAGGAUGGGUCUGUGUCCUAUUAGCUAGUUGGUGAGGUAACGGCUCACCAAGGCAAUGAUGGGUAGCAGGUGUGAGAGCACGACCUGCGUCACUGGGACUGAGACACUGCCCAGACACCUACGGGUGGCUGCAGUCGAGAAUCUUCGGCAAUGGGCGAAAGCCUGACCGAGCGAUGCCGCGUGCGGGAUGACGGCCUUCGGGUUAUAAACCGCUGUCAGUGGGACUGAAAUCCCGGGGGGUUCUCCCCUCGGGUUGACAGGACUUCAGAGGAAGUACGGGCUAAGUACGUGCCAGCAGCCGCGGUAG
rnacentral:rRNA from 1 species